ACCGGCCCUGCUUUCUGAACCCGUCACCGCUCCAGCAGUGGAGCUCUGUUCAACCCCUCCCACGCCCAUGCAGCAGUCUCACGAAUUAAUGCCCCAGUCCUCUCCACCUGCAGCACCCCCCUCCCAGCCACCGGAGACCACUGGUACCCAUACAGCAGCAGCAUCACGAGGGCUCCAGUUCAGUAGGUAUGCUGAGAAGAAGCAGAAACUCUGCACCCUCGCCCUCCCCCGCAGGAGUACCGCCGCCGGGCCAGCCACCCAUCUUCCCCCUCCUACUGUGCAGAAACCCUGCAUCACUGUGGAGGUGUGCCCCCAACAUAACGUUUCCUGCCACCGGGCCUUGGAGAGGGAAGAUGAGCUAGUAGCUGGUGUGAUGGGCUUCUCACCCAGAACCCUGGCCGUCCCACCACAACAACACCCCAAUGCUUUAGGGCCAUAUUAGGAGUGCUAACACCCCAUGACGAUGUACGACAAUAACGCUAAUGCACAGAUCGCUCACCAUGACUGGUGGCACUCGCAAGAAAGAAACAUGAUGCCAGAGCAACUGGUGGCAGAAAGGACAGAGAGAUGAAGGAGGGAACUGGAACAACAGAGGCAAAUUCAUGAAAAAGAGCUGGAGAGGGAGAGAGAGAGGGAAGGGAGAGAGAAGGGAGGCACAGAUUCAGGAAGAGAUGAACAGAGAGAGGCAGCAGGAGCUGGUGAGGAGCCGAGCCAGAGAGCAGCAGCACCUGCAGAGUUUAGUCAACCCUCCUCAGGCUGGUGAUGUCAACGACACCUGGCCGAAACCUGCCCAACCGUCAGUCUCAGGGUGGCGGGGGAGGAAGAGGGUCUCUACAGCACCCUGGAGGGCCACACAGGGGCUGGCUGUGCAGUUGGAUGGGAUGCAAAGAAAGGACACAUAAAUGAGAAUACAAGUCCUAAUCCCUGUUUUGGUAUUCAGCUGAAACCUAAUCCAAUCGCCCAAACCCAAUACAACCUCUAGGGUCUCCAGGAAACCAGCUCUUAAGAGGACCGGGCGUCUCAGCUAGCGGAUGAACGCAGUGGAAUGAGCACAGACGAGGAGACCAAUACCGACAUGCUCAUGGGUCGUUACUGGAGUCGCAUGGAGAGAAGGGAACACUUUCUGUUGGCCCGUGAGCAGAAGCAGCAGCAGAUGCAGGCCAGAGGAGCGACUUUACGAGACACAUUGCCAGGGGAGGAACCAUCGCUGGAGGAGGAGGAGUCUCUGUUGGAGAAGGCUCUAUGCUGGACAACAGAGGAGGCGGAGCUUUUGCAGAAGGGAGGUGCAACACGGUGCUGGAGCUGAGUCAGAGGAAGCUCAGUCGUCUGAGGAACAGGAAGCUUUUGGAUGACCUGGACGACCAGUAGAGGAGCUGUUGACUCAUGGGACCAGGCUGAACAAUGAGGACAGGCUGUGUACCAGCUCCCUGCUGACGGUCACCACCGUCUAACUGCAUGGGCACCACGUUCUAAAUAUAACUCCGACAUGGCAUGAAUGCAGCAUAAGAUUCUCUGUUCAUGGCACAAGGCUCCCUGUUCCUGCUGGUGUCUUUACUGUUGGCAGGAUGUUUACAGAUCUACCUACCCAGGGUAACAGCUUAUGCAUGCUACUGAAAUCUCAAGUGAUGCGUUGACUGUGUGGAGACAAUUUCAAAGAAAGAAGAUAAACUGCAAGUCAACUAUAGGCUACGUUAGUUUGUCCAGGCUGCUGCAGCAUCAUGUACAGUCAGGACAGACAGCACUCAAGUCAGCGUUGACAUUCCAGUAGAGGCAGGUACAGUGUGAGUACAUCUGAAAUCUACUAAUUCCAGUCUGCAGUUCGGGAAAAUGUGCAAUAAUACCUCAAGCUACUUUUACAAUGACAGUGUUGUUGUGUGUGCACUUCCUGUCAGGUGUCCAUCAAUGCAGUAACUCGUUUAAAUCAAACAGAUGCACAAACAUGACGAGUCACCGCAAGUGCACAGUAAUCCUAGAAUCAAAAUGUCAAGAGCAACGGUUAUGUACAUAUUUACAUUAUUUCUUUACAUCGUUUUCCAUGAGAGGGACCUAAGAAAACAACUUUUUGCACAUCAUUUUUUAUACGAAACGUUUUCCCUACCUUUCUGUACCAGGGACUAAGGCCAGUGGAACGACUGUAGAUAGAACGACUGUGUGUUGAUGUUUCUUUAUAAACUAUCAUAGUGAUUUAUGAAGGAAAACACAUGUUUAUUGUCAUUGUGUUGGACAUAUUUCAAUAUUUUUCUUGUGGUAGAUUCAAACCAAUGUUUUAUGACUUUUAAAUCUACUUAAUUUAUUAAAAAGCUGAAGAAACUUUGAUUUACCAUUUUCGAAGAGUGAACACAGAAUGUGAAUAUUAUUGUCUCUUUGAAUGGCUAAAUUGAAUUUUAUUGUUGUUUUGUGUCAUUAUGACAUGUACAUAUUGAUUUUGUCAGAAGGCGCAGAUGAGGUUUGAGUUAGUAAUAGGACAUGCUGGUGCCACCAGACACCUCCAGUGGUUUAUCAUGUGACUCUGUAGGGUUAUACAGUCGCUGUGUUAUGGAGGCUGUGUAUACAGCACAGAGAUUAUUGUAGUAUUAGUACAUUUAACACUCACAAUAUGGUCAACGUUCAUGGAAAGUAGUUCAGUUUGUUCUGAAUGUUAAAUGUGGCAUCCAUGAAUUAUAAGUAGGCUCACUGACACUGUAAUGCCUAAAGGAGCACUACAACAUUUGAGAUGAAUCUUCUUUCUCUCUGUCUUUUCCAGAGUCAUAUGAUUUAGAUGGAUAUCAGUCUCAUCUCUGUGUAUGGGGGAUAGGAAUAAGGUACACAGGGAUAGGUCCAUACAUGUUUAGCAUUGGUAAGCAGGAAUACUAGUGGCAAAAAACUCACAGCAGCCAGUGUUAUAUGUUUAAUCUUAAUAAUUAAACAUGUGUAUCAAUAUAAAAAAAUGGUGGUAUUACCAGAUGUAUUGAAAAACAGUGGAGUAUAUUUGUAUUCAAAACUAAACUGCUUUGAGCAUCAGCAUGGUAAUAUGCUCACAAUUCACAUGGUGAUGUUUAGUAGGAAAUGGUAACCAUGGUUACUUUCCCAGUCAAGCUAAUACCAUUAGUAAAACAGACCUAAACAAAAACAGACAUAUUUGAAUAUCCGAACAUCAGAGAUGUGAUAAGAUAUUAAUCUUAGAGAUCUGGAACCAGGCGAAGCUGGGCGUAGUGACAGAAUAUUCUUUCCUUAUGGUAGAGUUAGGAUUAAGAAAGCAAAUUGUUUAAAUUAGACAGCUGUGGAGUUCUUGAAAGCCUGAGCUAGGUUAGCAGUCUUUGUGCUGACCUCAGCACAUCCUUGGCCCUUCCAUGGACAGGAAUCACAGAGAGGAAACUGAUAUCCAUCCUCUAAGAUAAUUUACAGAAAUGUCAAACUGUUUGUUUAAAACACUCAGAGGGAAAAGACGUGGAAUCUGAUGUUUCCACAUUUCCCCUCUCUCUCCCGGCUGUGACUCAAAGAGUCUGAAUAAUGGAUGACGAAGAAAGAAUUGUUCCUUUUCACCCGCCCCCGCCUUCACUCUUUUUGCUUACGUUACACAAGGACACUAAGAGCUGAAAAUAGCACUGCUGUCCUCAUGUGAUGUGAAAUUAAAAGCACACUGGAGCGGAGACACUUGCUGCUGGGGAUCUCAACACUUGUUUCACUCCAUCUGACAAUCCCUCCAUCCAGCCUGCAACACCACCUCCAUCUGUCUGUGCAAGGGUACUUUUCACAACAGCAAGCUUUUUGGAAUAUGAUGAUGUACAUGUGAUUGUAAUAAAGAGAUUUUAAUUAGCUAUGA